AUGGUUGAAUUUGUAUACUUUACUCGUCGCUUGUGAUAAAUAUAAAGAUAUUUAUGGGAGUUCGCUAUUUUACAAGUCAAAUAUUAGACGGCCAUUCGAUAACAGAUUCAUUGUCAAGGCAACCGUCAUCUAACGUCGUCGUCGUUGCCACAUACGUCACCUAAGCAUUACGGGGUCGUCAAUUCAUCCCCUAAAUUAUAAGGGUCACCUAAUGGUUUGGCAGAUGAAUCGCAUAAUAGGUUGUUUUAAUCAAAAUAUACGUCACCUAAGUUUUACGGGCUUGUCAA